UGGAAAUGCCCCGUUUAAGGUCAACACCAGUGAUGUCCUGCGUUUACAACUCCUCAUUCGACCCUUCAGGGCGCUUAUUUCUGGCAGAAGCAGCUCUUGGUUUUAAAAGGAUGCUCACUGUUUUCUGGAGCCUGCUGGCCCCUACCGGAUUCCUGUAUGUUGGGAAGAUCUGAGAUUCCAUCCACCUGGCUUCCAGCCUAGACGCGCAACAGAUGCAUGGCAGUUUAUGAGCGAGAGCCUCACCGAGCAGCACCUGCACCCCGUUGCUAAGAGAGAAUAACAGCACUGACCUGCCCCGCCGAGAGAGGUGUCAUACGCCUUAACCGUCUAAUGAUGCUAAUGCUCUUUGAGAAUAUAAAC
rnacentral:lncRNA from 1 species